rnacentral:rRNA from 1 species
AUUGAACGCUGGCGGCGUGCCUUACACAUGCAAGUCGAACGGCAGCACGGAGCUUGCUCUGGUGGCGAGUGGCGAACGGGUGAGUAAUAUAUCGGAACGUACCCAAGGGUGGGGGAUAACGUAGCGAAAGUUACGCUAAUACCGCAUACGAUCUAAGGAUGAAAGCAGGGGACCUUCGGGCCUUGUGCUCCUGGAGCGGCCGAUAUCUGAUUAGCUAGUUGGUGAGGUAAAGGCUCACCAAGGCAUCGAUCAGUAGCUGGUCUGAGAGGACGACCAGCCACACUGGAACGGAGACACGGUCCAGACUCCUACGGGAGGCAGCAGUGGGGAAUUUUGGACAAUGGGGGCGACCCUGAUCCAGCAAUGCCGCGUGAGUGAAGAAGGCCUUCGGGUUGUAAAGCUCUUUUGUCAGGGAAGAAACGGUGAAGGCUAAUAUCCUUUGCUAAUGACGGUACCUGAAGAAUAAGCACCGGCUAGCUACGUGCCAGCCGCCGUAAAAC